rnacentral:sRNA from 1 species
GUGGUCCGUGCGGAGGCUGAGCCGGCCGCGGGCGCGACCGGAGGCAGUUUCCGUUACUAUGGCAAUGACGGCAGGGACUACAACAACCUUUCCUAUGAGCAACCAUACCCGGGAAAGAGUGACUGUAGCCAAGCUCACAUUGGAGAAUUUUUAUAGCAACCUAAUUUUACAGCAUGAAGAGAGAGAAACCAGGUAUAGUAAGGGCUAAUCAAAACUUUUUUUAGUUAAAUAAGCUGUUGUGCUGUGAGUGGAAUAGAAACUCGUUUACCAUGAAUAAUAUGAAUAUUAUGGAUCCCUGCAUGCUGUUUUUAAGUUUCCUGUACUGACAGUGCACAUAGACAUGUGAUUUAUUUUCACAGAGUAGUUUCCUGAGGUGCCCCAAGUCUUGUGCAUCUAUAUACCCAUAUGACAUGUCAAUUAUGUUUUAAACAAACCUUUUCCAAACAUGAAAUUAUGAUAUGUCUUUACAUUUUCUUUUAAAGGGAUGCCUGGCUGGAUGUGGUGUGGCUCAUGCCUAUAAUCCCAGCACUUUGGGAGGCCGAGGUGGGCAGAUCACCUGAGGUCAGGAGUUCAAGACCAGCCUGGCCAACAUGGUGAAACCCCAUCUCUACUGAAAAUACAAAAAAUUAGCUGGGUGUGGUGGCAGGUGCCUGUAAUCCCAGCUACUCAGGAGGCUGAGGCAGGAGAAUCGCUUGAAGGCUGCAGUGAGCCAAGAUCGCACCACUGCACUCCAGCCUGGG